AUUGAACGCUAGCGGGAUGCCUUACACCUGCAAGUCGAACGGAGUGGCGAACGGGUGAGUAAUGUAUCGGAACGUGCCCAGUAGCGGGGGAUAACUACGCGAAAGCGUAGCUAAUACCGCCUACUAUUGAAGCGGCCGAUACCGGAUUAGCUAGUUGGUGGGGUAACGGCUCACCAAGGGGACGAUCCGUAGCUGUUUUGAGAUGACGACCAGCCACACCGUGACGGAGCCACGGCCCAGACUCCUACGGGAGGCAGCAGUGGGGAAUUGUGGACAAUGGGGGAACCCCCGAUCCAGCCAUCCCGCGUGUGCGAUGAAGGCCUUCGGGUUGGACAGCACUUUUGGCAGGAAAGCGGUACCUGCAGAAUAAGCACUGGCUAACUACGUGCCAGCAGCCGCGGUAAUAC
rnacentral:rRNA from 1 species